ACGUAGGCAGCGAGCGUUGUUCGGAAUUACUGGGCGUAAAGCGUGCGUAGGCGGUGCCUCAAGUUUGGUGUGAAAUCUCCCGGCUCAACCGGGAGGGUGCGCCGAAAACUGAGGUGCUCGAGUGUGGGAGAGGUAGGCGGAAUUCCUGGUGUAGCGGUGAAAUGCGUAGAUAUCAGGAGGAACACCGGCGGUGUAGACGGCUUACUGGACCAUAACUGACGCUGAGGCACGAAAGUGUGGGGAGCAAACAGGAUUAGAUACCCUGGUAGUCCACACCCUAAACGAUGCAUACUUGGUGUGAGCCAUUCAUUUGGUUCGUGCCGGAGCUAACGCGUUAAGUAUGCCGCCUGGGGAGUACGGUCGCAAGGCUG
rnacentral:rRNA from 1 species